ensembl:misc_RNA
UUGACAACCCUGGAGACUGAUGUCCUAAUUAUCCUCAGAACAGGAGCACAUGGGCAUUUUCCUGCCAGUGUGACUCAGCCUAGAGGUGGAGAGCCCAGUUCUCAGAUUGGAUGGCAGUUCAGUAUCUUCAUAAGCUGCAGUCGUUCUACUGAGACA